AGCACAUACCUCAGCAGGGCCAGAGGUAGACAAGGACAACAAAUCUGGAGGAAUUUUAAAAGCCCUUUAAAUUUUUUAUUUCCUAUUA